ensembl:lncRNA
CAUGAAACCAUGCACAGGAACAUGAUUUUUAACUCAUCUGAUUUAUUCAGCAAUGCCUAUUUAUUCAGGAAUGAAACAAUUGAAAGGUUAAAAUUACCUUUUUCAUUUGUGUAUAACACUGCAUACUGAGCUCAGUAUAGUUUAACACAAGUACAAUAUUAAUGUCACAGACAGGAAGAUAUAUGCUGUCAGUCUAUAUAUGCCAACAAUAAAAGUGUAUAUAUGGACACAGACCUCUACAGAAUGCCCACUGCUUUUUGCUCAUACCUUACCCAUGAACUCACAUUCCUCUUUCAGUAAUACACAGCUGCUCUUGUUUCUGAAUGUGAAGUCUUUAUUGUAAACUUGAAGGGGAAAGGUAAUAUACAGUAUGUCAUCAAAUUUAAAUUUAAGGACAGAAGCAUUAAACAAGCAAUAAAAAUGACCCAGACUAGAUCCAAAUAGACUACUUUGAUUAGCAAUCUCCUCUACUCUCCAUAAGGAGCCAUAAGGAUUUUCAUUCUUAAUAAUGCUUGGAGCAUUCAAUACACAACACUGCAAGUUUUAUUUUUAUGGAACUGCUUGCUAGUAAUAGGCUUGAUAAUAUCGACCCUACUGCCAGUAAAGAGCAAAAGCUACUGGCAAAUGAGCCAUGAAACAGCCAGGUGUCUUGGCACAUGCUGAAUAGCUGAGAAUGGCAUUAAAACCAACUAUAUAGUUUGUCUGAAUGAAAAUAAAUGGUCUGAACAAUGCGUCAGAUCAAAAGUGCCUUUAACCCAUUCCAUUAAGGCCUUUGUUUUUUGGCACGCUUACUCACAGCAUGAGUAGCUACCUGUAUGUUUUAAAAAAAUGUCUGAAACCUACCCACACUAAGACAAAACUCCAUAGAAAGUCUCCAUCUGUUGUUGCUUAGCCUAAUAGCAAAGAUUUGUGUUAAUGUUUUCACAAUAAAUCAACUGUUGUUCCUGUCUGUUUUACACAGAUCAUAUGAAAGCAUCUCAAGCAUCUGGUGUUUCAUCCUGUUUCCAGUUGCAGUGACCUCAACAGCCCGUAAAAACUAUAGUGGAAAACUGGAAGAAUCCAUGCAAGAAAACAAAGAUAUGCUCAGGCACCUCUUCACCGGCACCGUCUGUUCCACUCACCUUGAGACGUCCACCCCCCGCCUCCCCCCCAACACCCUACAAAAUGUGGCAUCUAGAAAUGGACUAUGGCUGAGAGAGGGAGAGGAAAAAAAAAAAAGCAAUUAGUCAUCGAUUUCAAAGAGAGUAUAUAAUAAAAUGUUUCCCCCCUAAGGUAAACCUGUGGAA